UGAGCUUUUCCCUUCGACCUCCACUACAGCCCUUAUCCUUCUUCACACACCUGUCACCUCUUCUCCUUUCGCAGUCUUGCAGGUUCAUGUCUUCUUGACCUUGUAAGGCCUUUUCUUGACCUUGUAAGACCCCAUCCUCCUUUGGUCCUCUUCGUCUCCUUCUCUACCACGGGCUUCCUCCUUGUGCUCAUCGACCAAGUCCUUUAUCGCCAAUUCCCUC
rnacentral:lncRNA from 1 species